AACAACCCGACCGACGAUUUUAUUUAUCAGAGAAAGUACAUAGCAUUUUCAAUCUUACUUCUUUUUGUUUUGCUUCAUAAUUGGUGAUCACAGCGUAAGUUUUAUUUCAGUUUAUUUAAUCAAAUCAACCCUAAUUUAUAUUGGCUAACUACACUGGAGCUUCGUCGCGGUUUUUUUGGAUAGUAGUACAACGCAUACCUAUGUAAAUUAAAUAUUGUAUUGCCCUGUCUUAACACAGCCCCGUGGUAUCCUGUCCUUCCCUUCUACCCAGGGAUAAAGUAUGUCUUUACCUACGUAGUCUAUUAAUUUUUAUUUCGAUGUUUAUAUAGGUUUAGCAAAUUUUAGCGUGAAGGAGCAUCAAAAAUGAAGAGGAUCUCACGACGAAUAUUAGUUGAUGAGAAUCUCAACCCACUAAUUUUAUAAAGGCGAAAGUUUGUAUGUUUGUUACAUCUCCACACUCAAACUUACUUUGUAAAAAGUGUAGAUAGUAAUUGAGUUGUCUAAAAUCUAAAAUUCAAAUACCUUUAUUUCAACUGGUAUAAUGAUUGAUGCUUGUACUAUAUUGUAAGCUAUCAUACUAUAAAUAGGUAUUAUGUUGAGAGCUCAAACUGCCGCACAAUUUAAGAACGUAGUAAGUCUACUUACUGCGUUUAUGAUUGUAUUUGGUAUUUGAGAUGCUGACAUUACGAUCUAUAUAAAUCAAAGACCCGUUUUUUUCUAUCUCACUCAGAAAAGGAAAUAGGUAUUAUCAUGAAUGCAGUAAAGAGCAGAGUUUAGGUUUAUUCACACAGUGUCAUCGCAGUAAGAGCUCUUAAUAACUUAAUAUUAUGUGAAUAAUUGUGUUAACUUAAUUUGCAUCACAACAAUAGUACAGUACAGCGAUUCUUGUUAUGUUCUAUACAACUAUUAAUUAAAUAUUGCACAUAGUAAAAGCGCAGUAACUUCACUAUUUCACUUAAUACUAUGUUUCCAUAGUAAAAGCAGAUGAUUCGUACUUAAUAUUAACGCAGUUAUUACAAUUAUACUGCAUACAUCGUAAGAUUUGUCAAACUGUUAGACGGGUGCAACUUGUUAUUAACGCAGCAACAGACAACUACGGCAUUUAUUUAUCUCAAAUACGAUCGUUAAUUUUAAUGCCAUAAGAUCUUUUACUGCACACUUGUUACGGGUAAAUACGAAUUAAAAUCAAUCUGCGUCAACAUUUUAACCGCAGUGACGUGUUUUAUUGGGUUCAUAAUAAACGGCGAGGGCGCGGGGCAGGGUUAUCGCCGCCAGGACUGCGGCGCGCAGGCAACAUCCUAUCACUCGAGAAGGAUACGCGUCGCGCGGUGGAUGUUGCGGGAGUAGGUACUCGGUGUGCUCGAGUUCGCACUUUGUAAACAAACACGUAAGUGAUUUUCGCAAGAUGGCUCAUAGAAGACAUAAAAUUAUGUCUGCAUUAAAAGCUAAUGAAAAAAAGACUGAAAAUGUGACUAAUGAGUCUGAUGUAUGGCGCAGAUACGUUGAUUUUAAAGAUUUUCCAUGUGUUUUUGAUUACCGGAAUGAAUACAAUAAUUCUUUCAGACAUAUUCAGUCAUUCGAUAUGGAUAUUUUAAAAGGCAAUAGUUUUGAUAAAGCAAAUGACAUAUUUGAUAACUGUGACUUACAAUGUCACGAAAUUAUGCCACCGUUAUCAUUACCAUCACCGUCUAUAAAUCAAGAAUCUAAUUUAAUAGAAUUAGCAGACAUUGAUCCUUUUGCAGACUCUGAUCAUGACGAUAAUGAUAAAGACUACCUUCCUGUUGAAGAUGAACGAUGUAGUUCUUCUGAUUCAGCGUGCAGUGUCACAAGAGAAGAUGUUAACGAUGUAGCGCAAAUUCGAGACUUGGAAAAUAAAACACCAGAUUUGCAUAAACAGAAUCAAAAUUAUGGUAGGCAAACCAAUACACAACAUUGUGAAUAUGUAGCAUGUACCUUGAGUGUCUUCAGUACCUGUGCUAAAUGCCUCUGUUUUUUAUGUUGGGAGCACUUUAAUAACACAACCUCAUAUAACAACUGUCAAAACCAUAUGCCAUUUUAUACAGAACAGAUUUUAAGUAAAAAAGAAUAAGAAAAAAGAAAUAAUAAGAAAGAAUAAGAAAAAAGAAAAUAAACAUGAUGAGAUAACUGUCGUCAAUGAACAAGUUGAAGAACUGAAUCGACAAGGCAGUAUUCAACAUUGUGAAUAUGUUGAGUGUAACAAUAAAAUUACAACCUCUUGUAUAAAGUGCUCUUGUUUGUUAUGUGCAGAUCACUUUCAGAUAUUUAAUAUUGACGAUAACAGCAGCUGUAAUAACCAUAACUCAUACUCGUCUCACAAAAAUGGACCAGAAGUAUACAUAACUAAAAGGGGUAAAAUCAGCAGGAGAAAAGUAUUUACAGAAACUUUAGAAAAAAGGAAAGAAAAGAUAAAGAAAUUAAAAUGAGAAAAAUUUGUAAUGAAAGAUCCAUGCGAUGAAAAGUGUACAAAAAAGUGUGCGAGCAACAUUAGUCAGGCAAGAAGACAACAGCUACACGAUGAAUAUAAUAACUUAGAUUGGGAAACGCAAGGAAUUUAUAUUAAAGGAUUGGUUACUGUAAAACAAGUUCAGACGAAAAGAGACACAAAUUUUAAAUCCUAAAAGGAAAGCAACAUACGCUUAUCACUUUUUUUAAGAUGAAUUUACAAAAAUACCAGUAUGCAAAAGAUUCUUCCUAACAACAUUAGGCUUUAAACCGAGCAAUGAUAGAAGGGUUUUAUCAGUUUUAAAGAAGUCAGUCAAUGAACAGAAAAAUAUGAAGGGAUCUUAUACAAGAACGAAAAUCAUUGACAAGAAUAUCAUACAAGAACAUGUAAAAAAAUACAAUCCUUCUAUAUCUCAUUACAGACGAGAACAUGCACCAAAACGCCUAUAUUUGCCUAGUGAUAUUACAAUAAAAUCGAUGUACGAGGAUUUUUGUUCCCAAUAUCCCGAUUUAAAAGUUUCCAGUGAAGUAUAUAAAAAGGUGGUUCGCAAAGAUUUAAAUAUCUCGUUUGCAAAUUUAGGGAACGAAGAAUGCGAAACUUGUAGCUGUUUUCAGCAACAUGAUAACAACCACGUUAAAAAUUUAGAUGACACCUGUAAAAUCUGUGUUGAUUAUAAUAAACAUAAAUUGAAAUACACAACAUCACGACAAGAAUAUCAACGCGAUGUGCAAAAAUCUUUUCAGACAAAUGACCAUACAGUUUACUUUUCAGUGGAUCUACAAAAAGUAAUAAUGUUACCGAGGAUGGACCAAUUCAAAGCCGCUAUUUUCUGUCCAAGAAUCAUAGCUUUUAACGAAAGUUUUGUACCAUUGGGCUCAAACUCAAAACAUUUAACGGUUGCUGUAAUUUGGCCCGAAACAGUUUCAGGCAGACACCAAGAAGAUAUUAGUUCUGCAUUUCGUGCCUUUUUUUAAUUUAUCGAGAUAUACCGAACAUAGUGCUGUGGGCAGAUAAUUGUGCAUCGCAAAAUAAAAAUUGGGUCUUACUAACGUACCUGAUUUACAUAAUUAACAGCAACGAAAUAGCUACUCAAUCCAUAGCAAUUAAAUAUUUUGAGCCUGGGCACACAUUUAUGUCCGCUGACAGUUUCCACCAUCAGGUGGAAUUGUCAUUGAAACGCAAAAAGAAAGUGUACGAUUUUAAUGACUUUUCCGACGCCGUUAAGGCAUCUAAUUCUAACAAAAAUAUUGUAAAAGAAAUGCAGCUAUCAGAUUUUUUCGACUUUCCAGACGAAUCCUCGCAGGCGAAGCUUAAAAAAUUAGAACCUCGAUUAUAUUUAAAAGAUAUAAUGUCUGUUGAAGUACGAAGGGGACAUUUUACUUUAUUAAUAAAGAGAAUGCAUGAUGAUGAAGACCAUCAACACUUAGAUUUUUUGAAGGCUAAAAAUGUUUCUAAAAGGUAUAUUCCAGAACCAACUCCAAAAUCAGAAAUGAAGGGAACAUCACAAGCCACAAAGAACGCAAUCAUUCAAAAAUUAGUUUCUUUAAUGCCUGAAAAUAGAAGGCGGUUCUGGUAUAAUUUACCGGUAUCAGAAUUUUCUGAUGUACAUUAGAUAGAUACUUAAAAAUAUGACUAUCAUAUUAAUUUUUAUUAUUUCUAUUAAAAUUUUAUAUGCCACUUAAGAAUUACGUUCAAAAUAAAAAGACUGAAAUUAAUUAGAUUUAAGAAAGAAAAAACAUUUUAAUUGUUACCAAAGCUGUGUGAUUAGUAAAAUAGACUAUGUUCCGAAACUAAGAUGCUCAAAAUACAAAAUCUCGACUUAUUGAUUUCAUGUUAUAUUUAAAUAUUAUUGUUUAAUAAUUGUUAUUUUUCUAUGUAACGUGGGUACGCCCUAACUAAUGCAUAUGAGUACAAAUUUACUUUAAUUUUAUUCUACUUAAAUUUAUGUUAUUGUUAAUGUAAAGCAAGGGGAGAGUUAUUUUUGUUUUAAUGACUUGAAAGGUCUUUAUUUUAUUACUUGUGUAAGUUCCUGAAGUGAUUGUUACCUACCUCAGAAUGGGUGCCAUCUCACAUCACCUAGUCAAAAUGUGCCUUUGAUUUAUAAUAAAGAGAUGUCAGCAAUAAUUUGUAAUACAUGUUUCAUUUACCCAUUGCUCAUUUCGUAAAGUUCAACAUAUCAGUGUUAUUAACAUAAGAUAAACACAGUAUAGUUAUA